GACGAACGCUGGCGGCGUGCUUAACACAUGCAAGUCGAACGGAAAGGCAGUGCGUUUGUGGGGUGCUCGAGUGGCGAACGCGUGAGUAACACGUGAGUAACCUGCUCUUGACUUUCGGAUAACUUCAGGUAACUGGGGCUAAUAUCGGAUAGGAGCUGCUGCUGCAUGGAGGGCGGUGGAAAGUCUCGGCGGGUGGGGAUGGACUCGCGGCUGAUCAGCUUGCUGGUGGGGUAGUGGCUUACCAAGGCUUUGACGGGUAGCCGGCCUGAGAGGGUGACCGGCCUCAAUGGUACUGAGAGACGGCGCAGACGCCUACGGGAGGCAGCGGUGGGGAGUAUUGCACAAUGGGCGGGAGCCUGAUACAGCAACGCCGCGUGCGGGAUGACGGCCUUCUGGUUAUAAACCGCUUUCGCCUGUGACGAAGCGUGAGUGACGGUAAUGGGUAAAGAAGCACCGGCUAACUACGUG
rnacentral:rRNA from 1 species